UGACAUCCGAUGCAUAGCGUAGAGAUACGUGAAGUCCUUCGGGACAUCGAGACAGGUGGUGCAUGGUUGUCGUCAGCUCGUGUCGUGAGAUGUUGGGUUAAGUCCCGCAACGAGCGCAACCCUUAUUGCCAGUUACUACGAAAGAGGACUCUGGCGAGACUGCCGUUGACAAAACGGAGGAAGGUGGGGAUGACGUCAAAUCAUCAUGCCCUUUAUGACCUGGGCUACACACGUACUACAAUGGCGUUUAACAAAGAGAAGCAAGACCGCGAGGUGGAGCAAAACUCAAAAACAACGUCUCAGUUCAGAUUGCAGGCUGCAACUCGCCUGCAUGAAGUCGGAAUGCUAGUAAUCGCGGAUCAGCAUACCGA
rnacentral:rRNA from 1 species